CGAAGGAGUGGCGAACGGGUGAGUAAUACAUAAGCAACCUACCCACGAAGACUGGGAUAAUCUCUGGAAACGGGGACUAAUACCGGAUAGGUAAUCGGAAGGCAUCUUCUGGUUAUUAAAGGUUAAAAAUACUGGUGGAUGGGCUUAUGGCGCAUUAGUUAGUUGGUGAGGUAACGGCCCACCAAGACGAUGAUGCGUAGCCGGCCUGAGAGGGUGAACGGCCACAUUGGGACUGAGACACGGCCCAG
rnacentral:rRNA from 1 species